CUAUUUCCUUUCCUUUGUUAGGGUUUCGGUUACAUUCUUCCAAUCGGUACUGAUUUUUGCUUCAUACGCCAAUGCGGUGAAACAGAACGAGAAUCAUCGCUUCUAGUAUUACCGUGAUUGUCUACGACUGAGGUAUAUAUAAGACUUUCAAUCAUUCUUAGAUGCCUCGUUGCAAAGACGAGUCCCCUGCAGUUCGUGUCUACACCGUUUGCGAUGAAUCCAGAUAUUUGAUUGUGAGGAACGUUCCAGCAUUAGGUUGCGGCGAUGACUUGCUGCAACUCUUUUCAUCAUACGGAGAAGUAGAGGAGUAAGUCUCUUGGUGCAUGUUUGUAUUCGUUUUGGGAGAGCCAAAAGUAAUUUUGAAGACUUAAAAUCAAUUUUUGUAUGUUUGGGGAUUCAAGACUACAAUUGAUUUUGCCUCUAGAAUUGAUUAGAUGUGUAAGGGAAAGAAUGAAAUACCUAUUGACAAUAACCCUUCCCUUGGCCUUGGCUGCUAUAGAGAUAGAGGGACAUGAAAAAGGGAAACAAGUGUAUGGAAAUAGAAUAGAAGAUUGAAGUACCCUCCAAAUGUAUUUAGGAUCCUUAUAACUUUAGGAUCAUUGACACGAUUCAAAAGUAAUUAACACAGAUCACUAUUUUUUUUGUCUAGGAUUGGUUUCAUUCAUAUACUUAUAUAGACCAAUUAUACUUCUAUUCA